rnacentral:rRNA from 1 species
AACGAACGCUGGCGGCAUGCCUAACACAUGCAAGUCGAACGAGACCUUCGGGUCUAGUGGCGCACGGGUGCGUAACGCGUGGGAACCUGCCCUUAGGUUCGGAAUAACUCCCCGAAAGGGGUGCUAAUACCGGAUAAUGUCUUCGGACCAAAGAUUUAUCGCCUUUGUAUGGGCCCGCGUUGGAUUAGCUAGUUGGUAGGGUAAAAGCCUACCAAGGCGACGAUCCAUAGCUGGUCUGAGAGGAUGAUCAGCCACACUGGGACUGAGACACGGCCCAGACUCCUACGGGAGGCAGCAGUGGGGAAUAUUGGACAAUGGGCGAAAGCCUGAUCCAGCAAUGCCGCGUGAGUGAUGAAGGCCGUAGGGUUGUAAAGCGCUUUUACCCGGGAUGAUAAUGACAGUACCGGGAGAAUAAGCUCCGGCUAACUCCGUG